rnacentral:ncRNA from 2 species
GGUCAUGAGUGUCAGCGACAAGCCCUGGCUCGCUGACCGGCAACCCUCGCGCCGCGGUGGGGUGCCCCAGGUGACGACCGGACCGGAGAACUUCGGUAAACGCGAGGC